CUUGACAGGUUGUCUUGUCUGCUGACCAGUCUGCUGACCAGUCCAUGCCUAUAUUUAAGGUGACAACUCUCGCAUAUUGGAUAAAGUCAGUUCAAAGCUAAUAGCAACAGAGCUGCAUCUGGAACCACACACGGAACCAUGUGAUUUCAAAGAGACUCAGGUCUGUCAAGUGCCAACAAAAGCAU